GAGAAACAGCUCGUGCCAUGGAAAAUCAACCUGGGAAUUCCAAUCCUGUCAGCGACAUCGUUGGUCCAAGGGAAGAACAUGUCGGAGACGAGGCAAUCGGGGCGAUUCUGCUGAAGAGCUUCCUCGAAAGGGGAUUCAAGCAAAUUGACAGCUUCCAAGAAUUUGGGGAGUAAAUCCAUGGAUGGAAUGGAGUCGGCAUUUUCACAAGUAUCUGGUAGGCCA
rnacentral:misc_RNA from 1 species